UGCCAGCCGCCGCGGUAAUACGGAGGGUACAAACGUUGUUCGGAAUUACUGGGCAUAAAGCGCACGUAGGCGGCCUGAUAAGUCAGUUGUGAAAGCCCUCGGCUCAACCGGGGAACUGCGAUUGAUACUGUCAGGCUCGAGGGUGGUUGGGGUGAGUGGAACUUCUGGUGGAGCAGUGAAAUGCGUAGAUAUCAGAAGGAACACCAGUGGCGAAAGCGGCUCACUGGACCACAUCCGACGCUGAUGAGCGAAAGCGUAGGGAGCGAAGAGGAUUAGAUA
rnacentral:rRNA from 1 species